rnacentral:rRNA from 1 species
UCAAGUUAUUAAGGGUGCAGGGCGGAUGCCUUGGCACUAGGAGCCGAUGAAGGACGUGAUAAGCUGCGAUAAGCUUCGGGGAGUUGCACGUAAACUUUGAUCCGAAGAUUUCCGAAUGAGGAAACUCACUUAGAGUAAUGUCUAAGUAUCAUUAAGUGAAUACAUAGCUUAAUGAGGGGAACUCAGGGAACUGAAACAUCUAAGUACCUGAAGGAAGAGAAAGAAAUUCGAUUCCGUAAGUAGCGGCGAGCGAACGCGGAUUAGCCCAAACCAAUAAAGUUUUCUUUAUUGGGGUUGCGGACAUAUCAUAACGAAGAGGUAUCGUAAUUGAAGAGGUUUGGAAAGACCCACCACAGAAGGUAAUAGUCCUGUAUGUUAAACGAGAAGACUUUAGAUAUGAUCCAGAGUACCACGGGACACGUGAAACCCUGUGGGAAGCAGGAGGGACCACCCUCCAAGGCUAAAUACUACCUAGUGACCGAUAGCGUAUAGUACCGUGAGGGAAAGGUGAAAAGAACCCCGGGAGGGGAGUGAAAUAGAACCUGAAACCCUGCACUUACAAGCUGUGGAAGCACAUUUCUUGUGUGACCGCGUACUUUUUGUAGAACGGGCCAACGAGUUACGUUAAGUAGCAAGGUUAAGCACUUAAGGUGUGGAGCCGUAGCGAAAGCGAGUUUUAACUGAGCGUUCAGUUACUUGACGUAGACCCGAAACCGGGCGACCUACCCAUGAGCAGGAUGAAGCGAAAGUAAAAUUUCGUGGAGGUCCGAACCCACGAGCGUUGAAAAGCUCGGGGAUGACUUGUGGGUAGCGGUGAAAUUCCAAUCGAGCCCGGAGAUAGCUGGUUCUCCCCGAAAUAGCUUUAGGGCUAGCCUCAAGGUGAGAGAUACGGAGGUAGAGCACUGAAUGUCCUAGGGGGUAUUGCACCUACCGAAGACUAUCAAACUCCGAAUGCCGUCAUCUUAUACUUGGGAGUCAGACUGUGGGUGAUAAGAUUCAUAGUCGAAAGGGCAACAGCCCAGAUCGUCAGCUAAGGUCCCUAAAUGUAAGUUAAGUGGUAAAGGAUGUGGGAUUGCACAGACAACCAGGAUGUUGGCUUAGAAGCAGCCACUCAUUCAAAGAGUGCGUAAUAGCUCACUGGUCGAGUGAUCCUGCGCCGAAGAUUUCCGGGGCUAAAACUUACUACCGAAGCUACGGCAUCAGUAAUGAUGGGUAGGGGAGCUUCCCAUACGGGUUGAAGCAUGACCGUAAGGACAUGUGGACAGUAUGGGAGUGAGAAUGUUGGCAUGAGUAGCGAGAUGUGGGUGAGAAUCCCACAGGCCGUAAACCCAAGGUUUCCAGGGGAAGGUUCGUCCGCCCUGGGUUAGUCGGGACCUAAGCUGAGGCCGAAAGGCGUAGGUGAUGGACAACAGGUUGAUAUUCCUGUACUACCGAUAACCGUUUGAGAGAAGGGAUGACACAGUAGGAUAAGCUAAGCACACUGUUGGUUAUGUGUGCCCAAGCAUUGAGGCAGUCAAAGUAGGUAAAUCCGCUUUGAUAAUGCUGGGAUGUGAUGGGGAGCGAAAUUUAGUAGCGAAGUAGCUGAUUUCACACUGUCAAGAAAAGUCUCUAUCGAGGUUAAAGGUACCCGUACCGCAAACCGACACAGGUGGGUGAGGAGAGUAUCCUAAGGCCAGCGAGAGAACUGUUGUUAAGGAACUCGGCAAAAUGACCCCGUAACUUAGGGAUAAGGGGUGCCACCAUCAGGUGGCCGCAGAGAAUAGGCCCAAGCGACUGUUUACCAAAAACAUAGGUUUCUGCUAAGUCGCAAGACGAUGUAUAGGAGCUGACGCCUGCCCGGUGCUGGAAGGUUAAGGGGAUCUGUUAGAGCAAUCGAAGCAGUGAACUUAAGCCCCAGUAAACGGCGGCCGUAACUAUAACGGUCCUAAGGUAGCGAAAUUCCUUGUCGGGUAAGUUCCGACCCGCACGAAAGGCGUAACGAUUUGGGCACUGUCUCAACAACAGACUCGGUGAAAUUGUAAUUCCGGUGAAGAUGCCGGAUACCUGCGACAGGACGGAAAGACCCCAUGGAGCUUUACUGUAGCUUGACAUUGGGUCUUGGUACUACAUGUACAGGAUAGGUGGGAGGCUUUGAAACCAGGACGCCAGUUUUGGCGGAGCCAUCCUUGGGAUACCACCCUUGUAGUACUGGGACUCUAACCAUAGGCCAUGAAUCUGGUCUUGGGACACUGUCAGGUGGGCAGUUUGACUGGGGCGGUCGCCUCCCAAAAGGUAACGGAGGCGCUCAAAGGUUCUCUCAGUACGGUCGGAAAUCGUACGUAGAGUGUAAAGGCAAAAGAGAGCUUGAUUGCAAGACAUACAGGUCGAGCAAGGAUGAAAAUCGGACUUAGUGAUCCGGUGGUUCUGCGUGGAAGGGCCAUCGCUCAACGGAUAAAAGCUACCCUGGGGAUAACAGGCUUAUCUCCCCCAAGAGUCCACAUCGACGGGGAGGUUUGGCACCUCGAUGUCGGCUCAUCACAUCCUGGGGCUGUAGUAGGUCCCAAGGGUUGGGCUGUUCGCCCAUUAAAGUGGUACGCGAGCUGGGUUCAGAACGUCGUGAGACAGUUCGGUCCCUAUCCGUCGCAGGCGUAGGAAAUUUGAGAAGACCUGUCCUUAGUACGAGAGGACCGGGAUGGACGUACCUCUGGUGUACCAGUUGUCCUGCCAAGGGCAUGGCUGGGUAGCUAUGUACGGAAUGGAUAAGCGCUGAAAGCAUCUAAGCGCGAAGCCAACUUCAAGAUAAGAUUUCCCACCGCAAGGGUAAGACCCCAGAAAGACUAUCUGGUUGAUAGGUCGAAGGUGUAAGUGCAGCAAUGUAUUUAGCUUAUCGAUACUAAUAGGUCGAGGACUUGACCAA